CUUACGAAAAUGCUCUUGUAAUCGCUUCGAAGUAUCAGGCGAACAGAAACGUCAGAAUCUAUAUAUGAAAGUGUAAUGUUACUCGUGCACAAUGUAUGGUGUGACUAUAACGAAUUCAAAUAGCCUCAAUGUGCUUAAUUAUAAAGAAACAAGAAAGAAAAUAUUAAAUGAAAUAUAUUAUUGAUGAAUUAUGUAGAGACAUACGAUUUUGUUGUAUUUAACUGUCUUCCCAGAAAUAUACAUUAAACAGAAAAACAGAGAUGAUGAAUGGAAGAUCGAAUUAUUUCACUGUUGCAAGUAUACAUACUUUGGAGAAUUAUAAUUGUUCGGGAUGGUAACAGGAUUGUCCCUGUACUUCAGAGAUAAAAAGACAAGUUCUGAUACAUAUAUUAAUAGAAGUAUGCAAGUAUAAUUAAUGCUGAUUUCCAAAUGCUGAAAUCUUUAGAAAUAUAAAUAUAGGAAAUUCCAAGAAUCCAGAACGAUGUGUCUAUCCAGAUUUUUCAUGUCUGCAAUGGAUUAUGCUGUGCAUUUUCUGAGCUUAGAACUUACGAUGGAUUGCCUCCAAUGCAGACUGUAGGAGUACCUUUAACUGGAACUAA